rnacentral:hammerhead_ribozyme from 1 species
UUCCAAAUGACGAGUCCCAAAUAGGACGAAACGCGCGUUAUCCUGGAU